rnacentral:rRNA from 1 species
UACUAAGCCAUGCGAGUCACUGUCGUAGUGAAUACAAGGCAGACGGCUCAGUAACGCGUAGUCAACCUAACCUAUGGACGGGAAUAACCUCGGGAAACUGAGUAUAAUGCCCGAUAGAACAUUAUGCCUGGAAUGGUUUAUGUUCCAAAUGAUUUAUCGCCGUAGGAUGGGACUGCGGCCUAUCAGUGUGUUGGUGAGGUAAUGGCCCACCAAGACUAUUACAGGUACGGGCUCUGAGAGGAGUAGCCCGGAGAUGGGUACUGAGACACGGACCCAGGCCCUAUGGGGCGCAGCAGGCGAGAAAACUUUGCAAUGUGCGAAAGCACGACAAGGUUAAUCCGAGUGGUUUCUGCUAAAGGAACCUUUUGUUAGUCUUAGAAACACUAACGAAUAAGGGGUGGGCAAGUUCUGGUGUCAGCCGCCGCGGUAAAACCAGCACCUCAAGUGGUCAGGAUGAUUAUUGGGCCUAAAGCAUCCGUAGCCGGCUCUGUAAGUUUUCGGUUAAAUCUGUACGCUCAACGUACAGGCUGCCGGGAAUACUGCAGAGCUAGGGAGUGGGAGAGGUAGACGGUACUCGGUAGGAAGGGGUAAAAUCCUUUGAUCUAUCGAUGACCACCUGUGGCGAAGGCGGUCUACCAGAACACGUCCGACGGUGAGGGAUGAACGCUGGGGGAAGCAAACCGGAUUAAUACCCGGGUAGUCCCGGCUGUAAACUAUGCAAACUCAGUGA